rnacentral:rRNA from 1 species
UGUCCGGAAUUAUUGGGCGUAAAGCGCGCGCAGGCGGUUUCUUAAGUCUGAUGUGAAAGCCCCCGGCUCAACCGGGGAGGGUCAUUGGAAAACUGGGGACUUGAGUGCAGAAGAGGAGAGUGGAAAUUCCACGUGUAGCGGUGAAAUGCGUAGAGAUGUGGGAGGAACACCCAGUGGCGAAGGCGACUCUCUGGUCUGUAACUGACGCUGAGGCGCGAAAGCGUGGGGAGCGAACAGGAUUAGAUACCCUGGUAGUCCACGCCGUAAACGAUGAGUGCUAAGUGUUAAGAGGGUUUCCGCCCUUUAGUGGCUGCAGCAAACGCAUUAAGCACUCCGGCCUGGGGAGUACGGUCGCAAGAACUGCAA